UUGUUGCUGUUUUCAUGCAAUGGUUGUGCGUUAUGCAAGUGCAAUGAAUCCCAGGAUGGAUGAAGCCAGUUCCUGGGGGGCUAUUACCCCCCUACAGUUCAUCUGUGCUGAUGGCAUACUUUGGCUUUUCCUUGUUUGGGCCUAUUUUCGUAACAGUGACGAGCUGACCCUCCCAGUUUUUCUCUUUCUUUUUCUUGUUAAAAUGGGAGGAGUCCUAGUGUCCUGCUGGGGGUUAUUCCCCAAUUCAAGCCCAGGUAUUGCUCCAGAGCCUUUUUGGGUUAUAUCUGUGGAGCAAGGUGAACAGAAGGCAACUGACAGAUAUCGGCCAAGCUGUCAUGUCAAGCUACUGGAGCCUCUAUCCUAUCAGCAGCAGUUUCUGCCAUACUCUAUUUGGGGCGCAUGUUGGUACCGGCUUGGCGCCAGAAGACUUAAAUCAGAAAUAUGUGUUUUUAUAACUUUUUGUUCUAAAUAAAUCCUGUUGUUAUCAAAGAAAA